rnacentral:lncRNA from 1 species
AGGUGUGAUCCCUGCACCCCAUGGGUGAUCCCUGCAGGAGAUGGGCGAUCCCUGCGGCCGAGGUGUGAUCCCUGCACCCCAUGGGCGAUCCCUGCGGCCGAUGGGCGAUCCCUGCAGGGGAUGGGCGAUCUCUGCGGCCGAUGGGCGAUCCUGACGGCUGAUGGGCGAUCCCUGCAGGGGAUGGGUGAUCCCUGCACCCCAUGGGUGAUCCCUGCAGGUUAUGUGCGAUCCCUGCGGCCGAGGUGCGAUCCCUGCAGGUGAUGUGCGAUCCCUGUGGCCCAUGGGCGAUCCCUGCAGGUGAUGCGCGCAGGGAAAGUCCCCACAGCCACUCCCACCGCGGGGACAUCGGGAGCUGCCUCUUCCCCCAGGCAGAACCUGAUCAAUGCCCGGUUUUCCUUGAUGGCAGCACAGCCCAGCCUCCUUUCGUUCUCUGGGAAUUCCUUGCAGGUAACCCCAGCUCACACACCACACCUCAGCUCUGUGACCGCCCACCAACCCAAAUUCUGCUCCCUCCUCUCUGGGAUCCCACAGCAGAGCACAGCCUCCAUCCCUUCCUCCUUCACCCUGCUCCAAACUGAACCCUGGGAUGAGGAAGCUCUGAACAGAAUGCUUGGGGAAGGGGGCAGGGGGGAGGCUGCCCCGACAGGCACCCAAGCCAGGAGCCCUCUCCCAGCCAGCUCCAGAGCUGCCCCUGCCUCAGCCCUGCUCCCCACCCUGCAGGAGGAGGGCACAGAGUGCAGGACCCCUCUGGCCCACGGGAAUUCCAUCCUCAGAGGAGCCCUGCCCUGCUCCACACACCCCCCUGGAUGGGGUGCCAGGGGUACCCAGGGGUAUCUGCACCCCCAGCACCCCCCAGCCCCAAGGAAAGAGCCCAUUCCAUGGCACAGCUGCUCUGCCAGGCCUGGGCACUGCCAGUGUCCCUUGUGCCCUCCCUGGGCACUGCCAGCAUCCCUGCUCCCAUUCCUGGGCACUGCCAGCAUCCCUGCUCUGUCCCUGGGCACUGCCAGCAUCCCUGCUCCCCUUCCCUGGGCACUGCCAGUGUCCCUGCUCCCUCCCUGGGCACCUGCCACCAUCCCUGCUCCCUCCCUGGGCACUGCCAGUGUCCCUGCUCCCCUUCCUGGGCACUGCCAGUGUCCCUGCUCCCUCCCUGGGCUCCCCCCUCACUGCAGCAGGAGCUGUCUGUCCCAGGGUGCUGCCAGUAGGACAGAUGGCCAUGGAAAUGUCCCCAGGACCCCAGGACAGCUGUCACCUCCCUGUGGCCUCCCCAGACCCCAGCUGGGGUGGGAUGUUCCUCUGGAAGGUACAUCCAUCUCACCUGGUGCAUUAAGGGGCUGCCUGGGCCCAGCCCAGCUCUGCUGGCCCUGGGGUGCCCCCAGAGCAGCCCCAGGUGAGCAGGGCCUCUCUGGGCUCCCAGCAGGGUCUGGGACCAGGAGCUGUGCCAGAGGGGAGAAGCUCUGAAGGGCCUGGAGCUGCCCCUCCUGCCCUGCCCUGCUGAACUCCUCAGCAUCCAUCCAUCCCCUGGGCAAUUCCUCCUGGCACACACAGGGCAGGACCCCUGCCCUGAGCUGCCCCACGGCACGACCCCCAACCCCGGGCACGGCCAGAAAUCCAUCCAGCACAUUCUGUGCCAGAGGGGAUUUGGCUUCUCCUUCCCCCCACCUUCCCCAACCCCACGAGAAAUUGGCAUUUGAAGGGUAGGAGNNNNNNNN